rnacentral:snRNA from 1 species
GUAAUUUCUGAACUUUUGAUAAAAUUGAAACGGUACAAAGACGAUUAACAUGGAUUUUGCGCAAGGAUGAUAUACACGAAUCGAGAAAUGCUUCCCAUAAUU